UACGGAGGGGGCUAGCGUUGUUCGGAAUUACUGGGCGUAAAGCGCACGUAGGCGGCUUUGCAAGUCAGCGGUGAAAGCCCGGGGCUCAACCCCGGAAUUGCCUUUGAGACUGCAUCGCUAGAAUUGUGGAGAGGUAAGUGGAAUUCCGAGUGUAGAGGUGAAAUUCGUAGAUAUUCGGAAGAACACCAGUGGCGAAGGCGACUUACUGGACACAUAUUGACACUGAGGCACGAAAGCUAGGGGAGCAAACAGG
rnacentral:rRNA from 1 species